GAUCAUGGCUCAGGAUGAACGCUGGCGGCAGGCUAAUACAUGCAAGUCGACGGUAAGGCCGAGUGCAGCAAUGCAUGAGGUACACGAGUGGCGCACGGGUGCGUAACGCGUAUGCAACCUGCCCCCGACCGGGACAAAACAGCUGGAAACGGCUGCUAAUAUCCCAUGGUCAUGAGAAGGGCAUCCUUCUAUGUAAAGAUUCAUUGGUCGGGGAUGGGCAUGCGUAUUAUUAGGUAGUUGGCGGGGUAACGGCCCACCAAGCCGACGAUGAUUAGGGGUCCUGAGAGGGUUAACCCCCACACUGGAACUGAGACACGGUCCAGACUCCUACGGGAGGCAGCAGUAGGGAAUAUUGGGCAAUGGGAGCAAUCCUGACCCAGCCAUGCCGCGUGAAGGAAGACGGCCCUAUGGGUUGUAAACUUCUUUUGCCGCAGAGUAAACCCGGUCACGUGUGGUCGGUUGAGAGUAUGCGGCGAAUAAGUAUCGGCUAACUCCGUGCCAGCCGCAGC
rnacentral:rRNA from 1 species